CCUACGGGCGGCUGCAGUGGGGAAUAUUGCACAAUGGGCGCAAGCCUGAUGCAGCCAUGCCGCGUGUGUGAAGAAGGCCUUCGGGUUGUAAAGCACUUUCAGCGGGGAGGAAGGCGUUAAGGUUAAUAACCUUGGCGAUUGACGUUACCCGCAGAAGAAGCACCGGCUAACUCCGUGCCAGCAGCCGCGGUAAUACGGAGGGUGCAAGCGUUAAUCGGAAUUACUGGGCGUAAAGCGCACGCAGGCGGUCUGUCAAGUCGGAUGUGAAAUCCCCGGGCUCAACCUGGGAACUGCACUCGAAACUGGCAGGCUAGAGUCUUGUAGAGGGGGGUAGAAUUCCAGGUGUAGCGGUGAAAUGCGUAGAGAUCUGGAGGAAUACCGGUGGCGAAGGCGGCCCCCUGGACAAAGACUGACGCUCAGGUGCGAAAGCGUGGGGAGCAAACAGGAUUAGAUACCCGAGUAGUC
rnacentral:rRNA from 1 species